rnacentral:rRNA from 1 species
UGGGGAAUCUUGCACAAUGGGGGAAACCCUGAUGCAGCGACGCCGCGUGAGCGAUGAAGCCCUUCGGGGUGUAAAGCUCUUUCGGCAGGGAAGAUUAUGACGGUACCUGCAGAAGCAGCUGCGGCUAACUACGUGCCAGCAGCCGCGGUAAUACGUAGGCAGCAAGCGUUGUUCGGAGUUACUGGGCGUAAAGGGUGCGUAGGCGGCUCUAUAAGUAUGGUGUGAAAUCUCCCGGCUUAACUGGGAGGGUGCGCUAUAGACUGUGGGGCUAGAGGGUGGGAGAGGAAAGUGGAAUUCCUGGUGUAGCGGUGAAAUGCGUAGAUAUCAGGAGGAACACCGGUGGUGUAAACGGCUUUCUGGACCACUUCUGACGCUGAGGCACGAAAGCGUGGGUAGCAAACA